GCGGCCAUGACGGCUGAGGAGCUGAAGAAGGAGCAGGACACCAGCGCCCACCUGGAGCGGAUGAAGAAGAACCUGGAGCAGACGGUGAAGGACCUGCAGCAGCGUCUGGAUGAGGCCGAGCAGCUGGCCCUGAAGGGUGGGAAGAAGCAGAUCCAGAAACUGGAGGCCAGGGUGAGGGAGCUUGAAAAUGAGGUUGAAAGUGAACAGAAGCGCAAUGUUGAGGCUGUCAAGGGUCUGCGCAAACAUGAGAGAAAGAGUAAAGGAACUCACUUACCAGACUGAGGAGGACCGUAAGAAUGUUCUCAGGCUGCAGGACUUGGUGGACAAAUUACAAACCAAAGUUAAAGCUUAUAAGAGACAAGCUGAAGAGGCUGAGGAACGGUCUAACGUCAACCUCUCCAAAUUCCACAAGCUCCAGCAUGAGCUGGAGGAGGCCAAGGAACGGGCUGACAUCGCCGAGUCCCAGGUCAAUAAGCUGCGGGUGAAGAGCCGGGAGGUUCACACAAAAGUCAUUAGUGAAGAGUAAUUUAUCCAAGUGCUAAAAGUGACCAAAGAAAUGCACAAAAUGUGAAGUUCUUUGUCACUGUCAUA